GAUGAAGAACGCAGCGAAAUGCGAUACGUAAUGUGAAUUGCAGAAUUCAGUGAAUCAUCGAAUCUUUGAACGCAUAUUGCGCUCUCUGGUAUUCCGGAGAGCAUGCUUGUUUGAGUAUCAGUAAACACCUCAACUUCCAUAUCUUUUUUGAAAUGGGAGUUGGACUUGAGUGAUCCCAACGCUUUUCCUCACCGAAAAGUGGCGGGUUACUUGAAAUGCAGGUGCAGCUGGACUUUUCUCUGAGCUAUAAGCAUAUCUAUUUAGUCUGCCUAAAAACAGAUUAUUACCUUUGCUGCAGCUAACAUAAAGGAGAUUAGUUCUUGUGCUGACUGAUGCAGGAUUCAAAAAGACAGGCUUCGGCCGACUUUGUAAACUCGAUCUCAAAUCAAGUAAGACUACCCGCUGAACUUAAGCAUAUCAAUAAGCGGAGGA
rnacentral:misc_RNA from 1 species